rnacentral:rRNA from 1 species
UACGUAGGGGGCAAGCGUUAUCCGGAUUUACUGGGUGUAAAGGGAGCGUAGACGGCAGUGCAAGUCUGGAGUGAAAGGCGGGGGCUCAACCCCCGGACUGCUCUGGAAACUGUACGGCUGGAGUGCAGGAGAGGUAAGUGGAAUUCCUAGUGUAGCGGUGAAAUGCGUAGAUAUCGAGAGGAACACUCGUGGCGAAGGCGGGUUCCUGGACAUUAACUGACGCUGAGGCACGAAGGCCAGGGGAGCGAAAGGG